rnacentral:misc_RNA from 1 species
GCGGUGCUGAUUAGGGGUUGUUCUUACUCUCCCUUGCAAUUAUUUUGUACUUGUAGGGGUGCAUGUAGGCACGGUCCUUGUGAUGCGGUACGUGAUGGUGUGUGAGUGGUAUUUGGUUUGUGUGGUUGGCGGGCUCUUUGCUUGUGCAUUGGACCGUUCACCAACAUACCUUUUCAUUGUAUGCUGCAAGUGCACCAUUUUGCCUUGGGCGACGUGUGGUCCCUAUGUUGGAUUCCGAUUAACGGUAUUGUUGUUGUCCCUUUAAAGAGUGAUAUUCGCUCUACGUCCGUAAAAGGAGGUCGAGCGGACCAUGAAACUUGACUCGUUAUCCUCCUGUUUUGUGAAAACAAGCAUGAUAGGGUUGGAUUAUGAUCUCAAGUUGGGCCCUAGGAUACAGAAAGUUGUGUGGGAGUUGAUGUAAAAACGUCGCAAACCCAAAGCGUUGGUACGCUAAUGAUGGAUGACAUUCGAGUGUGUUGUGAUUCUUUCAUUCUAGAAAGGUUCAUGCUCGCCGAUGUCGACCAAGGAGUGCUACCUGGUUGAUCCUGCCAGUAGUCAUAUGCUUGUCUCAAAGAUUAAGCCAUGCAUGUGUAAGUAUGAACUAAUUCA